GCUUUUAUGUACGUCUGCACGUGUAGUGUGCCUAUGUUCGCUCAACAUUCCGAUUCGAUAGUUAUGGCCACAUUCUACAAACGAGUUUUCCCGAAUUGGCGCAAUGCCACGUACUGACCAUACGCAACAGUACUGAUUUACCAUGCUAGUACCUGAUAAGAGCGUUUAAGACAGCAUAAAGUGACAAACCACCGCCAGAUUUUUCGAUAAGGGCCAAUAUGUAGAACUUGAAUAUUUGUGCAGUGGCAUGGACCACUAUAAAAAUUGUUGCCUUGUUGACCUAGAAGGAUUUUUUAUAACAAUAACAUAACUAACUUACCACAAAAUUAAAAACAAGUGCAGCGAGAUCAGAGUCCGAUGAUGAAAAUGGUGGAAUUUGUUGUCGAAGGACGAAGCUGUCCGGUGAGGGCGCCAUGGUGG